UUAAAGGAGCUGUAUGUAAGAUUGGGGCCAAAACUGGUACUGCAAUCACUUUCAAAUUACUGUAGAGCGGUAUAGUGGAGGGCGGAGCAUCAGACCAAAACACAACAUGACCACAUCAACAUCAGUUGAGGGCUGCAACUUCACUUUUUAAAUGACAAUAUCCUGGCCAGACUACUGUUGUCAGUGAUAUAAGUAUUUGAAAUGAACAUGAUUUCUUAAUGUCUAGUGACAUAUCAGGG